UACGAAGGGGGCUAGCGUUGCUCGGAAUCACUGGGCGUAAAGCGCACGUAGGCGGCUUUGUAAGUUAGAGGUGAAAGCCCGGAGCUCAACUCCGGAAUUGCCUUUAAGACUGCAUCGCUCGAAUCAUGGAGAGGUGAGUGGAAUUCCGAGUGUAGAGGUGAAAUUCGUAGAUAUUCGGAAGAACACCAGUGGCGAAAGCGGCUUUCUGGACCACGCCUGACGCUCAGGUGCGACAGCUAGGGGAGCAAACGGG
rnacentral:rRNA from 1 species